rnacentral:rRNA from 1 species
GUUUACCGUGAAAAAAUUAGAGUGUUCAAAGCAGGCAGAUCCAAUUUUCUGCCACCGAAUACAUUAGCAUGGGAUAAUGGAAUAGGACCCUGUCCUCCUAUUUUCAGUUGGUUUUGGCAGCGCGAGGACUAGGGUAAUGAUUAAUAGGGAUAGUUGGGGGCAUUAAUAUUUAAUUGUCAGAGGUGAAAUUCUUGGAUUUAUGAAAGAUUAACUUCUGCGAAAGCAUCUGCCAAGGAUGUUUUCAUUAAUCAAGAACGAAAGUUAGGGGAUCGAAGACGAUCAGAUACCGUCGUAGUCUUAACCAUAAACGAUGCCGACCAGCGAUUAGGAGACGUUGAAUACAAAACACCACCAUCGGCGCGGUCGUCCUUGGCGUGUCUCGGCUUCACGGCUGGGGCGCGCGAGGGCGGUUUAGCCCGGUGGCACCGGUGAAUGACUCCCUA